CAUCAUUGCCGCUGCUGCUGUCACCACUACUACCACUGCAGGGUUGCCUAGAAGCCGAUGAUCACUGUAAAGUUCCCCAGUGAAUUAAGUUUGGGCCAGGAGAUACUAAAGGAUACAAAAAUGGCAGACUCACUGCUGUUCUGGAGGUCUGUGUUAAACACACAUGGAAGAAUCUAUGCCAGGUACUCUGCCACCAUGGCAAAGCAUCCGAACAUGAAGAAGAUGGGUUUGAAUACCUGAAGAAUGUUGGGAGCUAAGUCAGUAUUCGUCCACAUCUGAAGACUGACAAAUCAUUUCAAGCGAAAAGAAGUAUGUAAUGUAGAAUGACAUCAUAUUUUAUGACUCUUUUAUCAUUAUGCUUUCUCUCAGGGAACUUCUUUAGAAAAACCGUUUCCCCAGAGUAAGUAUAUUUCCAUCAAACAGAACCCACUGAAACAUGAUGAGGACAAAGGCUACACCUCAAUUUAAUAAAGAUGCCUAAAUAUACAAGUCAGACCUGGAUAUUACUUAUGAAGCUGCAUAUAUAUUAAAACAUUUUAAGCUGUGGCAUUUAAUACAGCUAACAUAAAAAGUGAUAAUAAACUGGUUUCAUUGAUAAUGCUAAUCAUUUUACAGUUAAAAGAUUAAUGAGUAAAAUGUUAAAAAUGAUAAAAACUUCAAUAAAUAAAGAGUAAAAGAGGUUAAUGUAGUGGUAUAGCUGAAAAUUCAAGAAAAGAAGGCCGUAAAGUGGAGGUUUAAAAUGUCUUUUGUUUUCUAUAAAAAAAAACCACGCCAUUAAUAUCAAGGAUAUAUCAAUCUACAAGGAACAAAAGUGCCCAUUAUUGGCUUUUCAGACAAGAUAAAUAGAGUGCUUAAAGAACAGAAUUACAUAAAAAUAAACUUUCAAUUUUAAUAAAUGUAAAUUUUUUUUUUAUUUUUUGGAAAAGGAAGCACAGUGAUCUCUUAGAGGAAACAAGAUGGACUAAGUAAAGUGUAUAUUUUAGGAAGAUACUGUAGUGUGGACUGUCAAUAUCCAGUAAGUCUUGGAAAGUUUUGCAGUCAAAUAAGCCAAAAGGGUUUAGAAAGCACAGAAAUAUGUCAUUAUUUUUAGGAGAAGCAGCCUGUCUCUAGGUUGUCAGUGUCAGCAAUAGGUAGGAUACUAAAGAAACCAAUAAAUCUUAAUGACAACUUAAUUAUUUACAUGAGAUUCCUGGUGUUUUCUGUGACAUGUGUCUCUUGGGAGAAACCAGGAGACCUCACGCACUUUAAAUUUUGAACAGAACUAAGAAGACAAUACACUAGCAUGAAAUCAAAUAUGAACAAUACUAAAAGCAGUACAGGUAUGUUUUUAAAUUUUUCUAUUAAUUUUGGUAUCAAUACAAAUCCUUACAAUCCCAAGAAAAGAAAAAAGAUUGUGAUUUUAGAGAAUGACAGAGAAAUGAGAGAAAUGUGAGGAAACGGUAUAGAAGUGUGACUUACUACUUUCAAAUAGUACCUAAAUCUUUUUUUUUUUUUUUUGAGACGGAGUCUUGCUCUGUCGCCCAGGGCCCAGGCUAGAGUGCAGUGGCGCGAUCUCGGCUCACUGCAAACUCCACCUCUCGUGUUCAAGGGAUUCUCCUGCCUCAGCCUCCCGCGUAGACGGCAUUACAGGCACCUGCCACCAAGCCUGGAUAAUUUUUGUAUUUUUUAGUAGAGACGAGGUUUCACCAUCUCAGCCAGGCUGGUCUCGAACUCCUGACCUCAUGAUCCACCUGCCUCGGCCUCCCAAACUGCUGGCAUCACAGGCGUGAGCCACCACGCCCGGCCAAAUAGUACCUGAAUCUUAUUAAUUUUAUGAUUUAGGAUAUUUUUUAAGAUUCUAAAUCAGAAUUUUACAAUUUAUGAAUUUAACAAUUGGCACUGUAAUAUAUGAUUUGUGCAAUUGUUUUCUAUAUCUGUAUCUACGUAUGUGACUCAUUGCUUACUCAUAUUAGGUAAUCAGGAAAUAAGUGUUAUUAGUGAUAUAGUAUUCAGUAAUUCUUGAACAAAUUUUUAUUGAGCACUUUAUGUAUAUACUAUAUUAGGUGCUAGGAGAAAAAGGGGUAAGGAAAAUAUAUAAGAUGUGUCCUCAAGACAUAUAUUUUAGUGGCCAGUUACCCUACAAAUAAAAAUGAAUGCAAAAUUACAAAUUCUGCUGAGUUGUGUGACAGAAACACAAUGUGUUCUGAAAAGAAAUAGGAUAUACCUAACUUAGAUUACAGAGGAAGAAGAAAUCAGAAAAAAUAUCUUUAGUAGGUGGCCUUUUAAACAGUGCUUUG